GCCCGCAUGGGGUAGUUUGGAUAUCCUAGAAGCCUGCGGAGCUUCAGACUCGGGUUCGAAUCCCGAUGCGGGCG
rnacentral:tRNA from 1 species